rnacentral:rRNA from 1 species
UACACUCCUGCGGGAGGCAGCAGUGGGGAAUAUUGGACAAUGGGCGCAAGCCUGAUCCAGCCAUGCCGCGUGAGUGAUGAAGGCCCUAGGGUUGUAAAGCUCUUUCACCGGUGAAGAUAAUGACGGUAACCGGAGAAGAAGCCCCGGCUAACUUCGUGCCAGCAGCCGCGGUAAUACGAAGGGGGCUAGCGUUGUUCGGAUUUACUGGGCGUAAAGCGCACGUAGGCGGACUAUUAAGUCAGGGGUGAAAUCCCGGGGCUCAACCCCGGAACUGCCUUUGAUACUGGUAGUCUUGAGUUCGAGAGAGGUGAGUGGAAUUCCGAGUGUAGAGGUGAAAUUCGUAGAUAUUCGGAGGAACACCAGUGGCGAAGGCGGCUCACUGGCUCGAUACUGACGCUGAGGUGCGAAAGCGUGGGGAGCAAACAGGAUUAGAAACCCUAGUAGUCCCAUGAU